rnacentral:rRNA from 1 species
UGGGGAAUAUUGCACAAUGGGCGAAAGCCUGAUGCAGCGACGCCGCGUGAGGGAUGACGGCCUUCGGGUUGUAAACCUCUUUCAGCAGGGAAGAAGCCACAAGUGACGGUACCUGCAGAAGAAGCGCCGGCUAACUACGUGCCAGCAGCCGCUGUAAUACGUAGGGCGCAAGCGUUGUCCGGAAUUAUUGGGCGUAAAGAGCUCGUAGGCGGUUUGUCGCGUCUGCUGUGAAAGCCCGGGGCUUAACCCCGGGUGUGCAGUGGGUACGGGCAGACUAGAGUGCAGUAGGGGAGACUGGAAUUCCUGGUGUAGCGGUGGAAUGCGCAGAUAUCAGGAGGAACACCGAUGGCGAAGGCAGGUCUCUGGGCUGUUACUGACGCUGAGGAGCGAAAGCAUGGGGAGCGAACA